rnacentral:rRNA from 1 species
AUGGAAGAAGAUCAGGUUAAAUUAGCAGCACUCAUCGCGGAGCUAGAGGAGCCAGUAGGUCUUUGUGACUUGCCAGCAAUUGACCCUCCUAAUACUAAGAGAAAGAAGGGAAGGGCAAUAAAGAAUUUUUCUGAGUGGAUAGAGAAAGAGCCUCCAGUGAAUUGGUCUUUGCUGCAUGACACACAUGGAGCUAGGUAUGGCCACAUGACAACCAAUCUUGUAGAGGUGUAUAACUUUGUGCUGAGAGGGAAUAGAGCAUUGCCACUCACAGCUAUUGUGGAGGCUGUAUUCCAUGGCACUUUGAGAUAUUUCAGAGAAAGGCACGAGUUAGCAAAGAAGCAUAUUGAAGAUAAUCACAACACACCUUAUUGUAGCCGUGUCAUGGAAUACAUGGCAAAGAAGAUAGAGAAAGCAAAGAAGCACACUGUCAGACUCAUAGGGAAUGAAGAAAGGAGGUAUGAGGUUCAGCUUCCUACCGAUGGUUUUGGUUCUGGACAUGAGGUGAAGACACACGAGGUAAAAAUUGGAACGAAAUUUUAUCCAACGUGUGAGUGUACCUGCAACAAACCGAAGUUGUUGCACCUACCUUGCUCUCAUGUGUUGGCUGCCUGUGGCCAAAUUGAGUUGGAUGCUAUCUCCUUCGUGUCCCCAUACUAUUUAAAAGAGGCAGUGCUCAACACAUGGACAGGUGAGAUGACAGGGUUUAGAGUCGUCGACAAUUUCAACAAGGUAAACGACGGUGAGAGAGUAUACAUCCCGCAUCCAGACCUUCGGCGAACAAGUAGGGGCAGACGAAAGGCCCGUCGCAUCCGAAACGAUAUGGACCAAUCUGAAGCUGGUGGAGCAACCAGACAAUGUUUGUUAUGCGCGGCUUAUGGGCAUAGGAUGAAAUAU